rnacentral:rRNA from 1 species
GGUAGUCCACGCCCUAAACGAUGGUCACUCGGUAUGUGCGGUCUCGACCCCGUACGUGCCUAAGCUAACGCGUUAAGUGACCCGCCUGGGAAGUACGGCCGCAAGGCUAAAACUCAAAGGAAUUGACGGGGAUCCACACAAGCGGUGGAGCAUGUGGUUUAAUUCGACACUAAGCGAAGAACCUCACCAGGACUUGACAUCCUUAGAACACCCUGGAAACAGGGUGGUGCCCGCAAGGGAGCUAAGUGACAGGUGCUGCAUGGUCGUCGUCAGCUCGUGUCGUGAGAUGUCGGGUUAAG